rnacentral:rRNA from 1 species
GACGAACGCUGGCGGCGUGCUUAACACAUGCAAGUCGAACGGAAAGGCCCUGCUUUUGUGGGGUGCUCGAGUGGCGAACGGGUGAGUAACACGUGAGUAACCUGCCCUUGACUUUGGGAUAACUUCAGGAAACUGGGGCUAAUACCGGAUAGGAGCUCCUGCUGCAUGGUGGGGGUUGGAAAGUUUCGGCGGUUGGGGAUGGACUCGCGGCUUAUCGGCUUGUUGGUGGGGUAGUGGCUUACCAAGGCUUUGACGGGUAGCCGGCCUGAGAGGGUGACCGGCCACAUGGGGACUGAGAUACGGCCCAGACGGCUACGGGAGGCAGCAGUGGGGAAUAUUGCACAAUGGGCGGAAGCCUGAUGCAGCAACGCCGCGUGCGGGAUGACGGCCUUCGGGUUGUAAACCGCUUUCGCCUGUGACGAAGCGUGAGUGACGGUAAUGGGUAAAGAAGCACCGGCUAACUACGUG